rnacentral:rRNA from 1 species
CCCUUAGAUGUCCUGGGCCGCGCGCGCGCUACACUGAGUGUCUGAGAUACGAGUCUGCCUGGUCCGGCAAGGUCUAGGUAAUCGCUAAAAGACACAUCAUGCUUGGGAUAGAUUAUUGCAAAUAUUAAUCUUGAACGAGGAAUUCCUAGUAAGCGCAAGUCAACAGCUUGCGUUGAUUACGUCCCUGCCCUUUGUACACACCGCCCGUCGCUACUACUGAUUGGAUGUUUAAGCGAGGUUCUCGAACUGCUAGCGACUUAGCUUCGGUGAGGUCGCAGUGUGGGGAGUGAACCUAGCUUUGGUGUCUAGAGGAAGUAAAAGUCGUAACA